GGCGAACGUGACGUCACUUUAACUAACUAAACGGCUACCAUUAUGGUAUGGGGGCAAACAAAGCGCUUGAAAAUGAAGAAAUGUGUUUUUGAUUGUUCAAUUAAUGUUAAUAGUCAUCCGAACUUGAUUUGUUAUAUUUUGCUUCCUUAUCCAAAGAGAAGAAAAUCGUGGCUUUAUGCUUUAUAUAAAACUGAUUCAUCUUGCAAAAACAAACUUUGGUCGCAAAACAUGUCUAAGUAUGCUCAAAACAUUUUGUAUCUGGAUUGUUCCUAGGUCACAAAAACAAUCUUACAAAUAGAGUUUCUGCUGUUGUCACUGGUUUUAGAGAGUACCUUCGUGAAUGAAGAUAAAAAGUCAUUUAUGUUAUUUUUUAAAAGCCAAGACAUAAUAUUGUUAAU
rnacentral:lncRNA from 1 species